rnacentral:lncRNA from 1 species
GUUUGAUCUCUCGCUUCUCAGCCUGACGGUCAGCUUCAUUUUUUGGCUGAAGUAUGUUCCUCUGCUCCAGUUCUUCUGCUGUGGGCCUCUGACUCAGUCGCCUGAUCAGCGUCGUCCCGAUCUGCUGCCGAAUUUCAUUCCACUCCUCUUUGCUUUUCCGAGGGAAGACAAUCUUUUCUUCCUGCACUGUGGUGGUGUUACCCAGCUUUAUAGCUAGCGUGUCUUUCCUCUUCACUUUGUUAGCCAGUGUGCUGUUAUGGCUUUCAUCUUCUUCCUCAUCCUCCUCGUCAUCUUUGUACAGGAUGGGCCCUUCCGAGUCAGAGUCACUCAUCCCUUCCUCUCCCUCCUGCUCCUCCGGCAGGACCUGGGGCACCAGCAUUGGGAUGACGGUGAUGGACGGCACGUCCCCGAUAUACACCCGUGGGCCUGAAUUCUGCUCCUCUUCCUGGUCC